rnacentral:rRNA from 1 species
GCAGCCAAGUCGUGAGGCGGAGCUAAUCCCUUAAAGCCAUUCUCAGUUCGGAUUGUAGGCUGAAACUCGCCUACAUGAAGCUGGAGUUACUAGUAAUCGCAGAUCAGAAUGCUGCGGUGAAUGCGUUCCCGGGUCUUGUACACACCGCCCGUCACACCACGGAAGUUGGGGGCGCCCGAAGCCACUUAGCUAACCCUUUGGGAAGCGAGUGUCGAAGGUGAAAUCAAUAACUGGGGUGAAGUCGUAACAAGGUAGC